AGUGAACGCUGGCGGUAGGCCUAACACAUGCAAGUCGAACGGCAGCACAGUAAGAGCUUGCUCUUACGGGUGGCGAGUGGCGGACGGGUGAGGAAUACAUCGGAAUCUACUUUUUCGUGGGGGAUAACGUAGGGAAACUUACGCUAAUACCGCAUACGACCUACGGGUGAAAGCAGGGGAUCUUCGGACCUUGCGCGAUUGAAUGAGCCGAUGUCGGAUUAGCUAGUUGGCGGGGUAAAGGCCCACCAAGGCGACGAUCCGUAGCUGGUCUGAGAGGAUGAUCAGCCACACUGGAACUGAGACACGGUCAAGACUCCUACGAGAGGCAGCAGUGGGGAAUAUUGGACAAUGGGCGCAAGCCUGAUCCAGCCAUCCCGCGUGGGUGAAGAAGGCCUUCGGGUUGUAAAGCCCUUUUGUUGGGAAAGAAAAGCAGCAGGUUAAUACCCCGCUGUUCUGACGGUACCCAAAGAAUAAGCACCGGCUAACUUCGUG
rnacentral:rRNA from 1 species